UACGUAGGGGGCAAGCGUUGUCCGGAUUUAUUGGGCGUAAAGAGCGUGUAGGCGGCCAGACAGGUCCGUUGUGAAAACUAGAGGCUUAACCUCUAGACGUCGAUGGAAACCGUCUGGCUAGAGUCCGGAAGAGGAGAAUGGAAUUCCUGGUGUAGCGGUGAAAUGCGCAGAUAUCGGGAGGAACACCAGUGGCGAAGGCGACUACCUGGCCUGUUCUUGACGCUGAGGCGCGAAAGCUAGGGGAGCAAACGGG
rnacentral:rRNA from 1 species